UGCCAAUAAGCUUAUGAAUUAUUAAUGAGUGUUUGAAUUUUUUUUUAAAAGCCUAUGCCAUACUGCGGAAAAAGGAGGGGUUGACCCUCCACAAAGAGAUAUCAUACUCUCUUGAGUGGGUCAUUCCGCUUCAUUCUCAAAAUGAUAGUAAGGACGGAACAAACUAAAGGAACUGGAAGGCGUUUUGCGGUUACUUCUAAACGCUUGCUACUUAAUAUUUGUUGAGAAAAAUCAGUGAAACUUCCUUUGCAGUCCGCGGACUAUUGUCAUAUCUCUUUGCGGAAAGGACGUAUAUUGGAACAAUUGACAGUCGGCGAGGUAAAAGAGUGAACUAGAAUGACAGACCGACCACGCAUCGGUACUUCUAUGACACGUUGAAUAAUAUCAGGUUGUCUACCGAAGUGCGCAAUAUCCCAUUUGUCUUCCAAACGUGCGCAAGGGAGUCCAGUUCGAGAAUCUUCAGGUAAAUGUAAGGGAAAUGCUGGCUUGCAGAGACGCACACAACAAUUGAUGGUUUACUAUACAAUCAUAAGAACCUCCCACUCUAUAGUUGAAAUGUUGGCAGGGACACAGGAAACGGAGCGUCCUUUCUCAGUAUUUAAUUAUCGAUUUCUCUCGUUGUCAACACUUCAUAGAGAGGCUCAGAUUUGACAUUCACAGUAUGCCAUUUGAUUGGUCAAUCGGGUAGAUUAAACACAUCUGAUUGGUUGAUGGUAGUCGUAGUCAAAUCUAUAUAGAAAGUCAACGAACAAGUCAAUCCACAUAGGAAGUUAAUCCGCGGCAUUCUGAUGCAAUAGAACCGAAUUUCCUACAAUCCAUAUUUUCAGAUGGAAUUUCUGGAUAAAUCUCGCCUCCAAUACUGCAAUCAAUGCAUCUUCAAUAUAUAAGAAGACACUAGACCACCAGCUUGACCCCCACUGGUCGCCAUCGUAAAUAAAGAAUAGUGACCCGGUUCUCCGAGCCUCACAUGUACGCACCCAAUGUGUAAUUGUCCACAAAAGCGCAACAAUUCAAGAGGAUUCAAAAUGAUCAUUCAAAAUGAUCGCUACAUAAUUAAGUUUUGGAAUAUGGAUAAUCGAAAGGAUUUUUAACAGUAUCAUUGUCAGCUAUGAAGGAACAAAAUCUUUAAGCCUUUAAUCACGAGGAGUAUAGCGUGGGAUGAUAUCAUUGUUAUAGCAAGAGUAUAUUAGUCAUAUUCAACCCAAGUUGCGGUACUUAAUAAAGCCCUUAUGGCUUAUCCCGAGGCAAAAUUAGCACAAUAAAAACUCAAUGAUAGACCGCUUUGUUUGGGAACUGAACAAUUACAAUGUUUUAUUGCGUUUUCGAGAUGUUUUCGUUCAUGCAUUGUGCCACCUGUCAUAAUCUAGCCUUUUUUCUGCCGCUUGCUUUGAAGAUAAACUCCGCCAAAGGCUUUCUUUGUCUUGCCUGCAUGUGCUUCGGUUAAUUUUUCGGACAUAAGAAGGUG